GAUGAACGCUGGCGGCGUGCCUAAUACAUGCAAGUCGAGCGAACAGACGAGGAGCUUGCUCCUCUGACGUUAGCGGCGGACGGGUGAGUAACACGUGGAUAACCUACCUAUAAGACUGGGAUAACUUCGGGAAACCGGAGCUAAUACCGGAUAAUAUAUUGAACCGCAUGGUUCAAUAGUGAAAGACGGUUUUGCUGUCACUUAUAGAUGGAUCCGCGCCGCAUUAGCUAGUUGGUAAGGUAACGGCUUACCAAGGCAACGAUGCGUAGCCGACCUGAGAGGGUGAUCGGCCACACUGGAACUGAGACACGGUCCAGACUCCUACGGGAGGCAGCAGUAGAGAAUCUUCCGCAAUGGGCGAAAGCCUGACGGAGCAACGCCGCGUGAGUGAUGAAGGUCUUCUGAUCGUAAAACUCUGUUAUUAGGGAAGAACAAAUGUGUAAGUAACUAUGCACGUCUUGACGGUACCUAAUCAGAAAGCCACGGCUAACUACGUG
rnacentral:rRNA from 1 species